GACGAACGCUGGCGGCGCGCCUAACACAUGCAAGUCGAACGAGCGAGAGAGAGCUUGCUUUCUCGAGCGAGUGGCGAACGGGUGAGUAACGCGUGAGGAACCUGCCUCAAAGAGGGGGACAACAGUUGGAAACGACUGCUAAUACCGCAUAAGCCCACGGUGCCGCAUGGCACAGAGGGAAAAGGAGCAAUCCGCUUUGAGAUGGCCUCGCGUCCGAUUAGCUAGUUGGUGAGGUAAUGGCCCACCAAGGCAACGAUCGGUAGCCGGACUGAGAGGUUGAACGGCCACAUUGGGACUGAGACACGGCCCAGACUCCUACGGGAGGCAGCAGUGGGGAAUAUUGCACAAUGGGGGAAACCCUGAUGCAGCGACGCCGCGUGGAGGAAGAAGGUCUUCGGAUUGUAAACUCCUGUUGUUGGGGAAGAUAAUGACGGUACCCAACAAGGAAGUGACGGCUAACUACGUG
rnacentral:rRNA from 1 species